ACCCUACUCUAAUAAGGCUUUAAUAUCUGGAGCUCAUAGGUGGGAGAUAAAAUAUACAUACUUACAAUACAUUUAUUGUAUAGUCAAACCAUGGAUCCAAAGAAAUAAAUCAAUACGUCAAAUCAAGAUGUGCAUGUGUGGCGAAUCAAUGGUGUAUGGUGAUGAUGGUGAUAACAAUGGUGAAAGUCUAAUUCUACUUUUGCUCUUUUGAGGGGAUAAAUACCUUCCUUGCUUUUUGAAACUUUAUGAGGAGAAUGAGAUGCUCUAUAUUUUUCUU
rnacentral:lncRNA from 1 species